rnacentral:rRNA from 1 species
AACGAACGCUGGCGGCAUGCCUAACACAUGCAAGUCGAACGAGACCUUCGGGUCUAGUGGCGCACGGGUGCGUAACGCGUGGGAACCUGCCCUUAGGUUCGGAAUAACUCCCCGAAAGGGGUGCUAAUACCGGAUAAUGUCUUCGGACCAAAGAUUUAUCGCCUUUGGAUGGGCCCGCGUUGUAUUAGCUAGUUGGUAGGGUAAAAGCCUACCAAGGCGACGAUCCAUAGCUGGUCUGAGAGGAUGAUCAGCCACACUGGGACUAAGACACGGCCCAGACUCCUACGGGAGGCAGCAGUGGGGAAUAUUGGAAAAUGGGCGAAAGCCUGAUCCAGCAAUGCCGGGUGAGUGAUGAAGGCCUUAGGGUUGUAAAGCUCUUUUACCCGGGAUGAUAAUGACAGUACCGGGAGAAUAAGCUCCGGCUAACUCCGUG